CAGGGGUGGAGUCGUGAUCCGAUUGAGGGCUCUCCAUCCUCGGGUUCGUCUUCCCAAGAAAGACGGGGCGGCUGGCCCACGUGGCCCGCCCCACCGUCGGAUUCUGGUGUUCCGACGAUGCUCUUUCCAGGCGUACUGAUGCCUGCGGCUGCUGCUGCUGCAUGGCCUGCACAGCUUCAGUGAGGCCCCUGACCUGCUGUGCUAGCAGAUCAAAUUGCUCCGUGCCGACCGCCGUUGUUGGAGGAGGAGGAGGUGGCUGGGAAACUGGAGGUGAGGCCGGAGCCUGAGAUCUGACCGUGGAGGCUGUGGAUCGUCGCGUGGAUGCCUUGCGGGGAGGCAUCGGGCAA
rnacentral:lncRNA from 1 species